UACAGAGGUGGCAAGCGUUGUUCGGAAUUACUGGGCGUAAAGGGCGCGUAGGCGGCCUUCUAAGUCAGACGUGAAAUCCCCCGGCUUAACCUGGGAACUGCGUCUGAUACUGGAGGGCUUGAGUGCGGGAGAGGGAUGUGGAAUUCCAGGUGUAGCGGUGAAAUGCGUAGAUAUCUGGAGGAACACCGGUGGCGAAGGCGGCAUCCUGGACCGAGAUCGACGCUGAGGCGCGAAAGCUAGGGGAGCAAACGGG
rnacentral:rRNA from 1 species